rnacentral:lncRNA from 1 species
CAUAUACCUACAGCUGGAGCACCUCUCUAGUGUGUCUGGCAAGCUUGAUGGUUUAAUUAUUAAGCUUAUGCACCAUGCCUGAUGAUGAUAUAUAAAUACCUUUGUCAAGAACCAUUUGGGUUUCCUGAUAAGCACAUUGUACCUGAAUCUUGUGGUAUCCAUGGUAGUGUAAUUAAUGUGAUAUCCACAAAUGAAGUGAUUUCCGUCACUUAAAGUAGGUCGCUGGUGAAAUUACGGUUUCCAAUAGAGCGGAGAGAGCAACUGUUCGGAAUGCCUAGCUGAACGAAUGCAUGCUACAGGCUGCGCGACAACCUUGUCAUGAAGGGCCAACUUCUGCGGUCGUUGCGCUGACAGCCACGAAAGAAGCCGUAUCACCGUGGCUUUCGUAUGAAGAUUUGAUAUGGUAAUGUGUGUUGUCUUAUAGCAAAAUUGGUGGCUAGUACACAUUGAUUAUUACCAUUUAUUAAUUUUAUCAUGUUGAUAGAAAAAAAUAAUCAGCGGUUGUUAAAGGUCCUGCCAAGGAACAGCCAUGUAUUCUGCUUAAUAUAUAUUAAAAAAAAAAAAAAAAAAAAUACAUGACAAUAUUUUGUAAUGUCUUGAUUGUCAUUGUUUAUUACUAAAUUAUUUAACGGCUAUGUAAGCCGGAUCUGUAAUUGAGAGCACCUACUAUGCCAAUUGUAAAUUAAUUUCUCGUAACCUUAUCAUGUUACUUGAACGACAGUUGUGUUGUACUGAUUCUAUCACCUACUGGCUUAGUUCCAAGGAAAAAUUAUCACGCUCUCGUUACAUUAAGGAACUUAGUAUUUCCCAUGUAUGUUACAGAGCUUCUUAACAAGAGCUUGUGCUGUGUUGGAAGGUGGCUAUGAUCACGCAUAGGGUGUGUCAUGUUAACCUCUCACGAGUUGUACGCCUUCUUGCGCAUGUGGGGAGCUUCACAGCCUACAGUGACGAAGCCAACU